rnacentral:RNase_P_RNA from 1 species
GAGAGAGGAAGGGCGGCUGCCGGUCUUCUUUAGUAAGAAGGCUGAGGAAAGUCCCUCCACCGCAAAAACACGAAUGCCGAGAGGGCAUAAGGCGAGAGUCCUGGCUCUGGUAUAGAAACGAUACCGUGCCAUAUUAAAGCAAUGAUUCCUUAAGGAUGAGGUCGUAUGGUUACGGAUGGAACGACCAACCUCGUGGGUGCAAGCCUCAGGAAGGCGCAAAGAUAAAUGCUGCCGAAACAGAAGGGGGCUUACUCUCCUCACUC